AGCCUGUUGCAAAAUUUACUCAUUAGCCAUUUUUUUACUAAGAAGCGGAGGAGGCGGAAGGCCCCACGCUCGGCAUGGCGGAUUAGGGUGAGGGUUUCGUUCAUAAAGCGGGAUCCGUCCCAUCAUCAGAUGAGAAACGAGGAGGUCAAGAUGUCAAGGAGGAGCAGAUUCUCCGGCUUCAAUUCCUCCAUCGGAUUCUUGAAGACCGGAGGGUCGACUUUCCGAUAAAGCUUCGGCCUCAAGGCCCUUCUUUGUUUUCUUUAGCCAAUGCCUGAUUUCUUUCUUUCUGCGUAUAGAUUGGCUGGUGUCAUCAAGAUUCUUUGAAUGGCUAGGCCACCAAUACUUGGAGAUUCAACGUGAGAUCAGUGGAACAUCCAGUUUGUACAAGUGAUGAUGGGUGACCAGAAUGUCUAUAUAUAUAUUAAGACCUUGUGCAACGUGUGCGGCCUCCGUUAUAUGGAGGAAUCGAUGCGGCUUAACACGAACCUAACUUUGGGCCCAUCAAACUUCAUUAUGGAGGCCAACCGCCGUCCCAACUGAGCAACAUAAAUUUAGCAAAGCUUCCUGAAGGGCUCAAUGAUUCAAGAAAUUGCAUAAGGGAGCAAUCCAUCAACAAUAAUUCAGUUGCAGGAGAAAAUUAUGCGCUACAAAUUGUUCCUCUUCUCCCUCCUCUUGGAAGAAGAGAAUGUGGAUAACGUGUGUUGUAGGUGACUUUUGCAACUGGUAACGAAUAGCAAUAAAAUUUCAGAAUUGUUCAUGGUAU